CCUACGGGGGGCUGCAGUGGGGAAUAUUGGACAAUGGGGGGAACCCUGAUCCAGCCAUGCCGCGUGUGUGAAGAAGGCCCUCGGGUUGUAAAGCACUUUCAGUGAGGAAGAACGCCUGGUGGUUAAUACCCAUCAGGAAAGACAUCACUCACAGAAGAAGCACCGGCUAACUCCGUGCCAGCAGCCGCGGUAAUACGGAGGGUGCGAGCGUUAAUCGGAAUUACUGGGUGUAAAGCGCGCGUAGGUGGCUUGAUAAGCCGGUUGUGAAAGCCCCGGGCUCAACCUGGGAACGGCAUCCGGAACUGUCAAGCUAGAGUGCAGGAGAGGAAGGUAGAAUUCCCGGUGUAGCGGUGAAAUGCGUAGAGAUCGGGAGGAAUACCAGUGGCGAAGGCGGCCUUCUGGACUGACACUGACACUGAGGUGCGAAAGCGUGGGUAGCAAACAGGAUUAGAUACCCCGGUAGUC
rnacentral:rRNA from 1 species